GCCUUAGUGGGCACACGUGCUAGCCGGGA
rnacentral:piRNA from 1 species